GGGUUGUGAGGUUAAGCGACUAAGCGUACACGGUGGAUGCCCUGGCAGUCAGAGGCGAUGAAGGGCGUGCUAAUCUGCGAUAAGCGCCGGUAAGGUGAUAUGAACCGUUAUAACCGGCGAUACCCGAAUGGGGAAACCCAGUGUGAUUCGUCACACUAUCAUUAACUGAAUCCAUAGGUUAAUGAGGCGAACCGGGGGAACUGAAACAUCUAAGUACCCCGAGGAAAAGAAAUCAACCGAGAUUCCCCCAGUAGCGGCGAGCGAACGGGGAGGAGCCCAGAGCCUGAAUCAGCAUGUGUGUUAGUGGAAGCGUCUGGAAAGGCGCGCGAUACAGGGUGACAGCCCCGUACACAAAAGCGCAUGUGCUGUGAGCUCGAUGAGUAGGGCGGGACACGUGGUAUCCUGUCUGAAUAUGGGGGGACCAUCCUCCAAGGCUAAAUACUCCUGACUGACCGAUAGUGAACCAGUACCGUGAGGGAAAGGCGAAAAGAACCCCGGCGAGGGGAGUGAAAAAGAACCUGAAACCGUGUACGUACAAGCAGUGGGAGCACAGGUUUACCUGUGUGACUGCGUACCUUUUGUAUAAUGGGUCAGCGACUUAUAUUCUGUAGCAAGGUUAACCGUAUAGGGGAGCCGGAGGGAAACCGAGUCUUAACCGGGCGUUAAGUUGCAGGGUAUAGACCCGAAACCCGGUGAUCUAGCCAUGGGCAGGUUGAAGGUUGGGUAACACUAACUGGAGGACCGAACCGACUAAUGUUGAAAAAUUAGCGGAUGACCUGUGGCUGGGGGUGAAAGGCCAAUCAAACCGGGAGAUAGCUGGUUCUCCCCGAAAGCUAUUUAGGUAGCGCCUCGUGAAUUCAUCUCCGGGGGUAGAGCACUGUUUCGGCUAGGGGGCCAUCCCGGCUUACCAACCCGAUGCAAACUGCGAAUACCGGAGAAUGUUAUCACGGGAGACACACGGCGGGUGCUAACGUCCGUCGUGAAGAGGGAAACAACCCAGACCGCCAGCUAAGGUCCCAAAGUCAUGGUUAAGUGGGAAACGAUGUGGGAAGGCCCAGACAGCCAGGAUGUUGGCUUAGAAGCAGCCAUCAUUUAAAGAAAGCGUAAUAGCUCACUGGUCGAGUCGGCCUGCGCGGAAGAUGUAACGGGGCUAAACCAUGCACCGAAGCUGCGGCAGCGAACGUAUCACUUAAAGCGAUUCAGCGGGUUACGAUUGACGGAGCGAAGCGACGUCAAAGCGUAUACAAAGUCGAGUCGGUUUAAGGAUACGUUCGUUGGGUAGGGGAGCGUUCUGUAAGCCUGUGAAGGUGUGUCGUGAGGCAUGCUGGAGGUAUCAGAAGUGCGAAUGCUGACAUAAGUAACGAUAAAGCGGGUGAAAAGCCCGCUCGCCGGAAGACCAAGGGUUCCUGUCCAACGUUAAUCGGGGCAGGGUGAGUCGACCCCUAAGGCGAGGCCGAAAGGCGUAGUCGAUGGGAAACGGGUUAAUAUUCCCGUACUUGGUGUUACUGCGAAGGGGGGACGGAGAAGGCUAUGUUGGCCGGGCGACGGUUGUCCCGGUUUAAGCGUGUAGGUGUGUGUUCCAGGUAAAUCCGGUUCACUUUAACACUGAGGCGUGAUGACGAGGCACUACGGUGCUGAAGCAACAAAUGCCCUGCUUCCAGGAAAAGCCUCUAAGCAUCAGGUAACAUCAAAUCGUACCCCAAACCGACACAGGUGGUCAGGUAGAGAAUACCAAGGCGCUUGAGAGAACUCGGGUGAAGGAACUAGGCAAAAUGGUGCCGUAACUUCGGGAGAAGGCACGCUGACACGUAGGUGAAGUGAUUUACUCAUGGAGCUGAAGUCAGUCGAAGAUACCAGCUGGCUGCAACUGUUUAUUAAAAACACAGCACUGUGCAAACACGAAAGUGGACGUAUACGGUGUGACGCCUGCCCGGUGCCGGAAGGUUAAUUGAUGGGGUCAGCGCAAGCGAAGCUCCUGAUCGAAGCCCCGGUAAACGGCGGCCGUAACUAUAACGGUCCUAAGGUAGCGAAAUUCCUUGUCGGGUAAGUUCCGACCUGCACGAAUGGCGUAAUGAUGGCCAGGCUGUCUCCACCCGAGACUCAGUGAAAUUGAACUCGCUGUGAAGAUGCAGUGUACCCGCGGCAAGACGGAAAGACCCCGUGAACCUUUACUAUAGCUUGACACUGAACAUUGAGCCUUGAUGUGUAGGAUAGGUGGGAGGCUUUGAAGCGUGGACGCCAGUCUGCGUGGAGCCGACCUUGAAAUACCACCCUUUAAUGUUUGAUGUUCUAACGUGGACCCGUAAUCCGGGUUGCGGACAGUGUCUGGUGGGUAGUUUGACUGGGGCGGUCUCCUCCUAAAGAGUAACGGAGGAGCACGAAGGUUGGCUAAUCCUGGUCGGACAUCAGGAGGUUAGUGCAAUGGCAUAAGCCAGCUUGACUGCGAGCGUGACGGCGCGAGCAGGUGCGAAAGCAGGUCAUAGUGAUCCGGUGGUUCUGAAUGGAAGGGCCAUCGCUCAACGGAUAAAAGGUACUCCGGGGAUAACAGGCUGAUACCGCCCAAGAGUUCAUAUCGACGGCGGUGUUUGGCACCUCGAUGUCGGCUCAUCACAUCCUGGGGCUGAAGUAGGUCCCAAGGGUAUGGCUGUUCGCCAUUUAAAGUGGUACGCGAGCUGGGUUUAGAACGUCGUGAGACAGUUCGGUCCCUAUCUGCCGUGGGCGCUGGAGAACUGAGGGGGGCUGCUCCUAGUACGAGAGGACCGGAGUGGACGCAUCACUGGUGUUCGGGUUGUCAUGCCAAUGGCACUGCCCGGUAGCUAAAUGCGGAAGAGAUAAGUGCUGAAAGCAU
rnacentral:rRNA from 3 species